rnacentral:rRNA from 1 species
GGACGAACGCUGGCGGCGUGCUUAACACAUGCAAGUCGAACGGAAAGGCCCUGCUUUUGUGGGGUGCUCGAGUGGCGAACGGGUGAGUAACACGUGAGUAACCUGCCUUUGACUUUGGGAUAACUUCAGGAAACUGGGGCUAAUACCGGAUAGGAGCUCCUGCUGCAUGGUGGGGGUUGGAAAGUUUCGGCGGUUGGGGAUGGACUCGCGGCUUAUCAGCUUGUUGGUGGGGUAGUGGCUUACCAAGGCUUUGACGGGUAGCCGGCCUGAGAGGGUGACCGGCCACAUUGGGACUGAGAUACGGCCCAGACUCCUACGGGAGGCAGCAGUGGGGAAUAUUGCACAAUGGGCGGAAGCCUGAUGCAGCAACGCCGCGUGCGGGAUGACGGCCUUCGGGUUGUAAACCGCUUUCGCCUGUGACGAAGCGUGAGUGACGGUAAUGGGUAAAGAAGCACCGGCUAACUACGUG